AACAUUUUUGCAGCAUAUCGGUUUACACCAACUGUUCUCAAAUUUCUUCAUAGAUGUCAACCGUUGAACACAACUAAACUUCUAUAUUAGUUAAUAACUAGCUAAGAUAGUUCACCAAUUUCCAGACAUUCCUAAUUGUUUUAAUCCAUACUCUACAUAUUAGCAUAUCAUGUCUUGUUAGCUUAGUUCCGGUCCAUGUCGCCGAGUCGUCGUGUACAGAGAAGCGAUAGAUUAGGAAAUUCCAGUGGAUUCUCAUCAAAAUCAAAUCUAUACAGAGAGGCGAGACAGAGACGCCGCGUGUGGCAGCCCAUGGAGAGGCCCCUCUCCUGCUCUGGGCAGCGCGAGGUCCGCGGAUCCGGCGGCGGUGGAGGACCGGCGGCCAGCAGGGCCCCCUUCUCGGCGUAUCGUUGCGCGGCCUCCUCCGGCGAGGCUUUGGCAUCCGCGACGGCCUCCCCAUCACCGGCGGCAGAAGAGGGGCGCGGCGGCGGCAUCCGGCCAGGCGCGAUGAAUCCCCUCCGACGCGCGUCGCCGCCGUCGCGACCCCUUCCCCGUCGCUCAUUCCUCCAGGUCAGGGCUAGGGUUUGGCCGGCGACGCCCCUUGGCGGCGUCGGUGGCGGCUGCCCCCUCCGGCCUCCUCCUCCCAAGCGCACGCGUGUCCGGCGGCGGCCGACUGAUCCCCUGGCCGGUGGCUCCCUCAUCGCGAGCGCAGGCCCAGGACUGGCGGCGAUUGAAUUGGGACCAGCAAAGAAGCAAGUUGAUACUGAUGAACUUCAAAAGACCAAACAGAUGCUUGAAAAAGCUAAGCAAGAAGUCAGACAUAAGGAUGACUCUUUGAGAAAGCUACAAGGGAAAGAUCAACUGUGCAAAAACUUGCAAGAAAAGGUAAAAGAGCUUGAUGGUCAGAUAGGUUCCAAGACACAUUCUCAAAUGACAUCAGAGAAGUAGUUACAAUUGUUUACAUGCUACAAGCACGAACAGUUAUUGUUGUAGUUACGUAAUUAGGAAACUUGAAAUUUCUGUGUACCCCUCCUUUUCAGAUUGUGGAGUUAGAGUGCAAGAUUACACAGACGCACCAAUCAGAAUAUGAGAUUGCAUUUCUGAAGCAAAUGAUAAUUUACAAGUAGUUAUCAAUGAUAUUUAGUAGCAUGCUUUGAUUGGUUUUAUAUGUUUCUUUCCUUUCCUCAGAUGAAAAAUCUGGAGCUCAAGUCGAAGGAACAUAUACAAUCACUUGAGUUGAAGAACAAAGACCUGGAGCUCAGGUUGAAAGAAAAAGAAGACCAGCAAUCUGUUGCGGAAUUAAAGAACUCGGAGCUGGAGCCCAAGUUGAAGGAACUAGAACACUAGCGGAACAAAGAGGUGGAGCUCAAGUUCCUGAGGAGCUCAAAUUCCCUGAACAUGCAGCAGCCUUUAAUUCCUGAGGCUGCUGAAGCAGUGGUGAACGAGAAGAAGAGAAAAGGUGAUGCAAGGAACGCAUCCAUCGUUGGUGAACAAGAGAGCAAGAGGCUAAAGAAAACAGCAGCCGAGCCUCCUUGGGUUGUGAAGAAUUUGGAAAGGUCAAAAGCAUUGUCAAGGGCUGCUGCCGCUGCCGCUGCUACACACAAGGUGUUGCCUACUCCCAGGUCACUGGCUCUUAAUAAGCUAAAUAAAAUGUGACCUUGAGAACAAAUAAUAAGGUCAAAGCAGAAAUAACUACAUUAAAUUUAGAGUGCUGGAACAGUUUGUCAGUUUAAUGUGCCCUUAUGAGCACGACUAUGUACUUGACUGAAGCAACUUUGAUACGCUUCCUGAAUGUAGUGGUGUAGCAUUGCAACUUCUGCAUCCUGAAUGUAGCUAAUCAUAUCGGAGAAGGGGAAACUGUAGUACAUGACGUAUCGGGGGCGGAGCCAGGAAUUUGUUUUUUUCAUUAUUAGGGGGGGCCAACCAUGCUAAUUUAUAUAAAAAUUUAAUCAAAAUUCAAAUUUUCAAUAUAAAUUUGGGAGCCAUAGGGGGGGCCAGGCCCCUGCCCGCCCCCCUGUCUACGCCCCUGCGUGUCGACGUGAAGCUCUCAUGCUAAGGUGUAUGUUCCAGUUGCAUGAUUUGAGGCCUUGCCUUUCAUGAUGGCCAUGGAGGUAAGUCCCAAUCGUUUCCUAUCAAGGUUAUGAUUUAUUACUAGAUAAAUCUGCAUUGGUUUUAGUCUCCCUGAGAAUAUGUUACACUGGAUUUUUUGAUGUAGAAAAAUGUUCACCCAUUUGCUGGCUUUGUUUCUUAGUUAUAUAGAUGUCGGUUAUGAUUUUUUCUUUCCUGGUUCUUAUCUAGAGUAUAUUUUUUAAAAUUGUACUGCAAAGACGAUCAAGGGAAAAAGGAGAACUCAGAAGUUUUCAUGGGGAAAAAUUAACCUCAAUUAAGUCAUGGUGUGGCUGCAAAUGUUCUUGAUGGCUCGCUUACCAUGUUUUUGUCGAAAUGCCUGUCACUAUGUGGUUGAGAAAGAACAUUGUGUGGUCAAAAGCAAGUUCAUAUAUUUUACUUACCAAUAUUCUUUUGACAAGUAAUUCCUAUUGCCUGGUGCUCAUCUGAUCUCCACUAACAUGCCAAACCUGUUUGGGCACAACACCCAGGUGAGAAACACUGUUCCUUUGUUUCAAUUUUAAUCACUUGAGGAGCACUUCUUUUUGAGAUAUAUCUCGGUUCCUGUUAUUUGUAGUAGGUAGAUUUUGGUGGUGUACACAUCAACUGUUAGUGUAUGGCUUGCCAAAUUACAGGACCAGCUGGUACCCGCCCGCACACGCAUGCACAAAUUAUAGGGCCGGGCAUUUCCUCAGCAUCCCAUCAAUCUUUCCUGCACCGCACACAUCCUAUUGUGAUCAACUCCACACUGUUCCUUUGGAUUGCUAUGCCUGGAACAAAAUGCUAUUCUAUAAAGUCACUAUGCUAUUGUUGGGCUGUCUCCUAAUUUUUGCACCUGACUAUGACUAUUUGGCCAGGUUCAUCCUGAUGGUUGCAAAAUCAAGCCUGAAGUACACACAGUGGAGUGAUGUCUCAGUAAGCUAUGUUUAAAGAGAAUGUUUUGGAGUUUGGAACACAUCUUUUAAUGUAUAUCUAUUUCUUUUUCAAUGAACAUUAGUUUGGCAGUAUUAGUUAGUUUAUUAUACUAAUAUAAUAUGUUCUGAGUAUGAAGAUGUAAGCACAUGGUUUUUUGGUGUUGGAGUUUGGGGCUGUAUUAUGCAUCGAGAGAUGAAAUGAUAAAAUGAGAAACCUUAAGUGAAUAAUGUGGAGGCAAUUAUAAUAAGCAAAAGAGUUUAUUUUUA